GCAGGGCAUGCUGAAACAAGGUGUUGCUGUGUUUGUUAUUAUUACUUAUACUAUGUUCUGCUAAGAGCUCCUGUAUUAUCUGUUAUUAAUCCCUUGGUCUGUUCUUUUGGGUAAUAUUUCAGGGCAACAAGGUAAGUACUUUGUUUAAAGACUUAUGGGCCUAUAGCAUAAGGCAUCUCCCAAUAUUGUGAUUACCUACGUUUUAAAUGAGAAAAUGAACUGG